rnacentral:ncRNA from 1 species
CCCGCACCUAGCCCGACGGGGCGAAAAGCCGGACACCCUGCCGGCGUGGUGCGGGGACUUGUCCAGGG